UGCGAAUGGAGAGGGAGAGAUCGUGAGGGGGAGAGAGAGAGGGAGAGAGAAAGGAGGGAAAAAUCAGAUUUUUAAUAGGGAAAUAGCUCAAUAUACCACCUAUUUUACAAUUUUUUGUCAAAAUACCACCCCUCCCCAAAAUUUUUAAAACUACCACUUAUAAAUACAUCUUUAUUGUAAACUGAUUGCACCCAUAUAACUUUUUCAGAAAUUGGGUUCUCUCUCAACUCUCUUGGCUCCGUCUCUCUCUUCAGCCUGUCUCUCUCUGUCGUGUAACUCUCUCUCUCUCUCUCUCUCUCUCUCUCUACGACGCAGUCAUCUUCCUCCCCCAGCCAUCCAAGAUUAACUCCACGGUUCACAUCCACGAGGCACUUGAUAGGAUGCUGCAGUUUAAUAAUACUAAAGCUCAUAAGAGAAAGCAAAUCAAGUCAAUGUUUUCUUUGUAUCCAUGAAUUAGAUUACUAAAUGUUGCUGUAAGUUAUUGUGUUCAGUUUAAUUAUUUUUUUAUUUUUUUUUACAUGUAGUAUUUUAUUUUAUUUUUCGCAGAGUUUGUUUAUCAUUCCAUUCUUGAGAUGUUAUAUGCGUACUUGCAGGCUUGAGAAAUUUUUCCAUGUUUGGAGGUCAAAACAACUUGUAUAGUCAACCAUGCAUAAUUUCAGAGUUGAAGCUGAUGGUGUCUUUUGAGCCAAUGGAUUUUCCUAGAUAUCAGAAGUGCAAUGGCAAAUUAAUAAAUUGAUCUAGACAAAGAGAGACAUGAAGUGAUACACAUCGACCAUUUUCUGUGAGCUGAUUCGAUAAAUAGAAAUUGUCUGGUGCUGUUUGUCUUAAGAAGGGUGGUUUAACUUUGCCUUGUUUGCUUUUGGUCUGUAACAUUAUUUCUCAUUGGCUGUUCUUGGAAAUAUUUUUUUUCUUUCUUUCCUUGUUUAUCCCUUAGAACUUGCCUUUUGCCUUAUGGAAUUGUGGAUGUUUAUUUGUAUGUAGUAAUGAUGGAUUUGUGUGCAGUGAGAAUUUCUAAUUUCAAAUCAUGUGGUUGACUUUUGCAUA